AAAAAGAUAAGCUAAUUAAGCUAAUGGGUUCAUACCCCAAUCAUGAAGGUAAUAUCCUUCUCUUUUUA
rnacentral:tRNA from 1 species